rnacentral:rRNA from 1 species
AACGCGAAGAACCUUACCAGCCCUUGACAUCCCGGUCGCGGAUUCCAGAGACGGAGUCCUUCAGUUCGGCUGGACCGGAGACAGGUGCUGCAUGGCUGUCGUCAGCUCGUGUCGUGAGAUGUUGGGUUAAGUCCCGCAACGAGCGCAACCCCCGUCCUUAGUUGCUACCAUUUAGUUGAGCACUCUAAGGAGACUGCCGGUGAUAAGCCGCGAGGAAGGUGGGGAUGACGUCAAGUCCUCAUGGCCCUUACGGGCUGGGCUACACACGUGCUACAAUGGCGGUGACAAUGGGACGCUAAGGGGCAACCCUUCGCAAAUCUCAAAAAGCCGUCUCAGUUCGGAUUGGGCUCUGCAACUCGAGCCCAUGAAGUUGGAAUCGCUAGUAAUCGUGGAUCAGCACGCCACGGUGAAUACGUUCCCGGGCCUUGUA